CCAUCCACAAUACGAGGUUAGUUAUUCAUAUACUGCUGCAUGGGCUGUGCUGUAGUUACAUCGUAAGGUUUUAAAAACUGAGCUUAAAUAAAUGAUUAGCGGUAAUAAAAGCCGAGGGAGGUCAAUGGUGAUCACUGAAUGUUUUUAGGAGCUUUUUGAGAUUAAAUAGAAGAAAAUACAAAGCAUUAAACAUGUUAACAACACAAAAGCGAUAUUAAAGGCAGACUACGAAGUAGGAUUCGUCGCGUCAUCACUGAACAACAAUAGCGAUUUUCCUUACUGAGGAGUUGGCAACGCUGACUGCAGCCUCCCACACUGCGCACGCGCAAACACAGAAAUGAAGGCGAAAAGACGGAGCAGCACAGUAGUGCAGCAUGUGAUCUGGACACAAGCGAUGAAAGCACAAGUUGUAGAACUUUUGCAAGCUCUUCCGAGCCUUUUCUUUUUUUUUUUUUACUUGAAAAGUUUUUUAUUUUCUCCACCAUGCAGGAGGACCCCUUAUUUUGAUGGCGAUUUUGGUGGGGUUUUCUUUUGUUUUGUUUUAGGAACUGGGCCUUUAGCCAAUUUCUUCUGCAUUUUCUUUAUAACCCCACCCCGUUUGGCCUCGCCCGGCGGGGGCUGUUUCCCCCAGACCCGGCGGUACUCUUCAUGUUUGACCGCCGGGUCUGUCCGGGUCUGGAGGAGUGGACCAGCUGGCCUCAUUGCUUUCUUACAUUCUUUUUUAUCGCUUUUCUCCAUUGUUUCCUCGAGCGCUUCGUGGACUGGCCGUUGAACACUUUGGAGUUCCAUAGUAGUGACCGUAGUACCGUGCGGAUCGAUACUGAGCCUUUUCGAUGUCUCCUCACAAAAUUAUCACGACCACAACAACCGUGAAAAUAUUUGAAUGGACAUUGCUGCUCAAUCACAGCUGCCUGAUCAAUAUUUUUCAUUAGCAAUUUAGCACAGUUGAUGGUGGUGGUGUGUGUGUCUGUGUGAGUGAAAGACAUAGAGGGAGAGAGAGGGACAGAUUUUGUGUUAUAACCUUAGGGAUGCUUAGUGUGAGCACUCAGGUCGCAUCAGAGCAUCGGGCCGUAUAGUGUGAGACCCUGCAUCGUGACCUACGAACUUCUAACCCCUGCGAGUCAAUCGUACAGUUUGAGCAGGCGCUGAAUAACGCCACUGAAAAAAUCGCACAGCGUAUGCCCAAGGCUCCGCCGAUGCUGAUGGAAAUGGACAAAACGUUAAGAAACGCAAAGCCAGAGGAACAGACUAACACACACUAAUGCUGUUUUUGACCUCUAUUUAUGCCCUCAGUAGGCGUGACCUUACGGCCGCACUUCAAAGCACGGCCGCACUUCAAAGCACUCAGCCUUUUGACGCGUCACCUAAUCUUCGUUCUAAUGGCGCAACUCCUCCCAGUCAUUCAUAAUCCGACCUCCGCGUUUGCACUCGCUGCCUACAAGAGCUCCCAAAUGUGAACAUCACUGAUGUUCAUCGGAUUUGCAGAGUGACGACAACCCCCGCCAGCAUGUUAGAUAAAGGAUUUAAGUUAUAUGCUGCAUCACACAACUACGAAGAUUAAGCUUCUGGAUUCAUCGCUGGUGGUACUGACACAUAGCCAGUGCUCCUGUGUGGCAGGUGCUGUUAUGUGCAAUCACACAGUGGCACUGCUCUUCCAAACAGCACACUACUCACAACUCAGAGUGCCGGUUAUCCCCCUGUGCAUAGCUGCACCGAAUCUGAACAGCAAUGGCACAAGCCACGGACAGUGGGUGUGAAGCCAGGACCUAUCAACUCUAUGAUCUUCACUAAGCCGGUACCAAAUAGGAUGGCCCAGACUGGAGCACGGAGUGGAUUCUACAGAGGCACUGUGGGUCCAUUACCAGAUCCCUGACCUGACAAGCCCCUUGUGGAAAGUGCCUUUGGGCUGGUGAAGGAGGGCAGUGUUCUGCCAUGUCAGCAGCCGGUUUUGACAACCCGGUACAUCACACUACACCGUGAUGCACCACCAACACCGCACUUGCCUCUGGAG
ensembl:lncRNA